AGAGUUUGAUCCUGGCUCAGGACGAACGCUGGCGGCGUGCCUAAUACAUGCAAGUCGAACGAAGCUUUCUUUCACCGAAUGCUUGCAUUCACCGAAAGAAAACUUAGUGGCGAACGGGUGAGUAACACGUAGGCAACCUGCCCAAAAGAGGGGGAUAACACUUGGAAACAGGUGCUAAUACCGCAUAACCAUGAACACCGCAUGAUGUUCAUGUAAAAGACGGCUUUUGCUGUCACUUUUGGAUGGGCCUGCGGCGUAUUAACUUGUUGGUGGGGUAACGGCCUACCAAGGUGAUGAUACGUAGCCGAACUGAGAGGUUGAUCGGCCACAUUGGGACUGAGACACGGCCCAAACUCCUACGGGAGGCAGCAGUAGGGAAUCUUCCACAAUGGACGAAAGUCUGAUGGAGCAACGCCGCGUGGAUGAAGAAGGCCUUCGGGUCGUAAAAUUCUGUUGUCAGAGAAGAACGUGCGUGAGAGUAACUGUUCACGUAUUGACGGUAUCUGACCAGAAAGCCACGGCUAACUACGUGCCAGCAGCCGCGGUAAUACGUAGGUGGCGAGCGUUGUCCGGAUUUAUUGGGCGUAAAGGGAACGCAGGCGGUCUUUUAAGUCUGAUGUGAAAGCCUUCGGCUUAACCGAAGUAGUGCAUUGGAAACUGGAAGACUUGAGUGCAGAAGAGGAGAGUGGAACUCCAUGUGUAGCGGUG
rnacentral:rRNA from 1 species